AUUGAACGCUGGCGGCAUGCUUUACACAUACAAGUCGAACGGUAACAGGCCUUCGGGUGCUGACGAGUGGCGAACGGGUGAGUAAUGCAUCGGAACGUGCCCAGAGGUGGGGGAUAACGCAGCGAAAGCUGUGCUAAUACCGCAUGUGAUCUGAGGAUGAAAGCGGGGGACCAAGCAGCAAUGUUUGGCCUCGCGCCUCUGGAGCGGCCGAUGUCAGAUUAGGUAGUUGGUGGGGUAAAGGCCUACCAAGCCGACGAUCUGUAGCUGGUCUGAGAGGACGACCAGCCACACUGGGACUGAGACACGGCCCAGACUCCUACGGGAGGCAGCAGUGGGGAAUUUUGGACAAUGGGCGCAAGCCUGAUCCAGCAAUGCCGCGUGCGGGAAGAAGGCCUUCGGGUUGUAAACCGCUUUUGUACGGAACGAAAAGGCUCUGGCUAAUACCUGGGGCUGAUGACGGUACCGUAAGAAUAAGCACCGGCUAACUACGUG
rnacentral:rRNA from 1 species